CAUUUUCUUAAUUCCCAUUAAAGCUUAAGGACAAAAUUGAAAUUUCAACAUCCGCCCCUCUCUUUUUUCCCGUUUCACUAUUCUCUCUCUUCUCCCUCACACCACUUGUGAGCGGUCCUCCAAUCCAUCAGAGAACUCACAACUCUACGACGAGUGAGGAAAUGAGGCGCGAAUUUAUUACAGCAGAAGAAAACAUCAUUUUGGAAAGGACGAAAAAGAGAAGGCAGUAUGCAAAUGAAGUAAUUGAAGACAGGCUGAGUGACUUACCUGACGGUGUUAUCCUUCAAAUUUUGUCAUUAUUGGAUACAAAACAGGUUGUGAGAACUUGUGUUUUGUCAAAGAGAUGGGAACAUCUCUGGAAACGUAUUUCAACCCUUAUAUUGCAUUCUUCUAGAUUUUCCUAUGUUAAGCAAUUUACAACAUUUGUGUCUAAGAUUUUGACUCUUCGUGAUAGCUCAACUGCAUUGCGCGUUCUUGAUGUUGACCGUAAUGGUAAUUUUGAACCUCGACUCCUUAAAAGGAUUUUAAACUACAUUUCCUCCCAUAGUACCCACCUCCAGGAAUUAGCUAUCUCAGUCCGUGGUGAUACUUCUCUCAUUUUGAACUGCUUUUCUUCUUGUCGGGCUCUUACAUCUCUUAAGCUUUCAAUUUACCCUAGAGAUGGUUAUACGGAAACAUUAUUUCCAAAUUCGUUGAAUUUGCCUUUAUUGACCAGCUUAGAUAUAACAAAUUUCGCCUUCUGCGGUGGUGAAAGCGGUUGUGCUGAGCCCUUUUCCGUCUUUACCAUGUUGAAUAGUUUGGCCCUUAGUAGUUGUAAGGUAAAGGAUGCUCAAAUCCUCACCAUAUCAAGUGAUACACUUGCCAAUUUAGCUAUACAUAGUCCUUUUGAAGAGAUUAAUGUGGAUAUACAUGAUAAUUCGUCCAACAUGCCCAAAAUUGAGCUAUCUACCCCAAGUCUCUAUACAUUUACAUACUAUGGUAGUCUUAUUCAGGAAAUAUGUGGGAGCGGACUUUCUUCUGUUAAACAAGUACACAUCGAUGAUUCACGAGAAUUUUCAGCUUCGGUGAGGCAUGGUUUGCUUGUAUUCAACUGGCUGCUAGACUUUGCCAAUGUAGAGUCAUUAGCACUCUCUUCAACUACUCUUCAGAUUCUCUCCUUAGUUCCUGAUUUAUUGGAGGUUAAGCUCCCUUCGUUAUGUAACUUGAAGUCAUUGGAAGUAGAAUUGGUACCAUUUAUUCACCGCGAUGGAUUUUUAUUCCGAUCAAUCGAAGCUGCCAUGUUAAAGAAAGCUGCUGCCAAGUCUCGUAAAGAAGUUGCUAAGUUAAGAAAGGCAUUCAAAGCACGUUUGGAACCACGUGCCAUACCUGACGGUAUGGUUGACUUCUUGCGACAAAACUCGCCAUCAGCGGAAGUUAACAUCACCACAGAUUUCUCGCAUGUUUUAAAUCCUAAGCAGGUUGCAGAAUCUAUAAAGGGUGCGAAGAUCAUCAGCUAUCGUUCGCGAUUUUCCAAACGGCUCAGUCCUGUCCCCUUCCAUGCCGCACCUGCUUCUGGUACUGAAUAUGAUUCUGCCACUGCUCUUGCUUCUGUCUCCGUGACUGCUCCUGACGCGGUGCCUGCCUCUGCUGCACCUCCCAAUCUUCAUCUCUGCCGCGAUGAAAAGGAUGAUAAAUCAUCAAAUGAAGAUGAGGUGGAGAAGCGCCAACCUAACACCGACUCACCACUUCUAGAUAAUGGCCAGUGAAGAGUUCUCAUAUUGCCUUUCUUGUUACAAUGCCUCCUUUGUGAACCUUUCUUUUAAGAUAUCAGAUCUGCAAAUAUCAGCUUGGAUGACUUUACUGAAACCUGUUGUUUGAUUUGACAAGUGUUUGGUCUAUCACAUGAGUUCUUCAUUUGAGUCACUACUUGAAGAGAACAACCGUUGAUGAAAAGUCGGAAGUAAAGUCAACUGGAAAUUUUCUAAGAAACUAAAGAUUUAAGUGGUUUGUGUUCACAUAUUGGUAUUUGGGUUCCAAAUAUUUCUGUUCUGGAAAAUUCACAUGUGAUUUUGUUUCUGAUGAAUUUAGUAGCCCGAAAUUGCAUAUUCAUCUAAAGCUACUGAGUUACUGGUACAGAAAAAGUGCAUGUUGCCCAUGUUAGGAACAGUAUCAAUGCUUCAAUUGGCUGUGAGUUUGAUAGGAAUAUAUCCUAGUAUGUAAGAUAGCUAAUAAAUCAAAUCUAGUUGUAUAAAAAGACUCUUGCUCUUGUCAGGAGCACUAUUAGUGAACCAACAAUGGCUUGGUGUGAUCGCAUGGUAGUUGCAUCCUCUUGUUAGAAAGACCCAUUUUGAGAGGGCUUCCUAAUGAUGGCGGUGCUUGAAUAGUUAGUCAUAGAACAACUUAUUAUACAACUCCUAUUUUUCUCUAUCACCACAGAAUAAUUCUAUUUCCUUGCUAGAGAUUUUCUGGUC